rnacentral:rRNA from 1 species
GUCUACGGCCAUGCCACCCUGAACAAGCCCAAUGUCUGAUCUCGGAAGCUAAGCAGGGUCGGGCCUGGUUAGUACUUGGAUGGGAGACCACCUAGGAAGACCAGGUGCUCUAGGCA